rnacentral:rRNA from 1 species
AUGAUAGUUACUUUUUUCUCUAUAACAGGAUUCUUAGUUUCUCGUUGGGCUUCCUCGGGACAUUUUCCAUUAAGUAAUUUAUAUGAGUCAUUGAUCUUCCUUUCAUGGGCCCUGUAUAUUCUUCAUACCAUUCCUAAAAUACAGUACUCUAAAAAUGAUUUAAGCACAAUAACUACGCCAAGUACUAUUUUAACGCAAGGCUUUGCCACAUCGGGUCUUUUAACUGAAAUGCAUCAAUCCACGAUACUAGUACCUGCUCUACAAUCUCAGUGGUUAAUGAUGCAUGUCAGUAUGAUGUUAUUAAGCUAUGCAACUCUUUUGUGCGGAUCCUUAUUAUCUGCCGCUAUUCUAAUCAUUAGAUUUCGAAAUAAUUUCCAUUUCUUUUCUAAAAAGAAAAAAAAUGUUUUAAAUAAAACAUUUCUCUUU